CGCUGGGAUUGGGAUAUAGCAAUUCAAUAUUUCUAUGGGUAGUAGAACGCUUAGGUUUUCCCUGAAGUACACUCCGUUCCCUGAACGCAUCUCUGCACAGAGUGCGCGCCGCACACCCUAAUAACUCAAUCCGAUUCCAUCUACAGCUCUUACAGCCAAUGAGAAUAAGGCUGUUCGGGCUAGCUAGCCAAUGGGAUAGAUCCAUGAUUUGAUUCGUCCCCGCACGUGCGGCUCGGUGACGGUGACUUGUCACUCGAUUGCAUUGGUCAUCAACCGUCUUUUUUACAUGACCACGGAAUCAAAAACAUAAACAACAGCAAAUGAGUGGCGUGUUACGAUCGAAAACACAGUCGUCAUGAGCAAGAGGAAGCAAGAGGGUUGCAGAGACAUUCGGCAAUGUUUUGCCUCGUCUCAGAAAAGAAGCAAAGUAACUAAAGAGGGUUGACACACAACUCUACACAGCAG
ensembl:lncRNA